CCCGAGACUAGAGUCUCAUCCUGACAUGAUCCAUUGUCUUGGUGUGCUAGAGAUCUCGCAGAGUGAAGACUGAUCUUAUUCACUGACUGGCUCUUUCUUGGCUCAGUCAGCCACAGGGUCAGUGACACGU